rnacentral:misc_RNA from 1 species
AGCAGCCGCGGUAAUUCCAGCUCCAAUAGCGUAUAUUAAAGUUGUUGCAGUUAAAAAGCUCGUAGUUGAAUUUCGGGGUUAGUAGGUUGGUCAUGCCUCUGGUAUGUACUGGUCUCACUGAUUCCUCCUUCCUGAUGAACCUUAAUGCCAUUAAUUUGGUGUUUUGGGGAAUUUGGACUGUUACUUUAGAAAAAUUAGAGUGUUUAAAGCAAGCUAACGCUUGAAUACAUUAGCAUGGAAUAAUGAAAUAGGACGUUCGAUCCUAUUUUGUUGGUUUCUAGGAUUGACGUAAUGAUUAAUAGGGAUAGUUGGGGGCAUUAGUAUUCAAUUGUCAGAGGUGAAAUUCUUGGAUUUAUUGAAGACUAACUACUGCGAAAGCAUUUGCCAAGGACGUUUUCAUUAAUCAAGAACGAAAGUUAGGGGAUCGAAGACGAUCAGAUACCGUCGUAGUCUUAACCAUAAACUAUGCCGACUAGGGAUCGGAUGAUGUUAAUUUUUUAAUGACUCAUUCGGCGCCUUA